rnacentral:rRNA from 1 species
AGUGAACGCUGGCGGUAGGCCUAACACAUGCAAGUCGAACGGCAGCACAGUACGUGCUUGCUCUUCCGGGUGGCGAGUGGCGGACGGGUGAGGAAUACAUCGGAAUCUACUUUUUCGUGGGGGUUCACGUAGGGAAACUUACGCUAAUACCGCAUACGACCUACGGGUGAAAGCAGGGGAUCUUCGCACCUUGCGCGGUUGAAUUCGCCGCUGCCGGUGUAGCUAGUUGGCGGGGUAAAGGCCAACCCAGGCGGCGAUCCGUAGCUGGUGUGAGAGGAUGAUAGGCCGCAUGGGAAGGGGGACACGGUCCAGGGGCCUGCGGGAGGGAGCAGUGGGGUAUAGUGGGCAAUGGGCGGAAGCAUGAUACAGCCAUACCGCGUGGGUGAAGAAGGCCUUCGGGUUGUAAAGACGUUUUGUGGGGAAAGAACAGCAGCAGGUUGAUACGCCGCGGUUCUGACGGUACCCAAAGAAUAAGCACCGGCUAACUUCGUG